UAGGGAAUCUUCCACAAUGGGCGAAAGCCUGAUGGAGCAACGCCGCGUGUGUGAUGAAGGGUUUCGGCUCGUAAAACACUGUUGUAAGAGAAGAAUGACAUUGAGAGUAACUGUUCAAUGUGUGACGGUAUUUAACCAGAAAGCCACGGCUAACUACGUGCCAG
rnacentral:rRNA from 1 species